GGCAUAUAUGUUGGUAUCGAUCAAGAAGCAGAAGAGCUUCCAAGUCUGGCUUCUGCCUCCUUGUUAUCUUUCUUUCUCCACCAGUGCCUGCAAGUAUGUGAAGUUUGUCAGUGAAGUUAUGAAGAGUGUGUGAUGAAUGUAUACGUUAACUAUAAUUGCAUCCCAGCUGAGCAUGUGGGCAGCUCCUCAAGCAGGAGGGAGUUUGCUCCUCCAGGGGUCAGCAGCAGCUGCUAUGUGAUUUCAGCCUUCACAUACAGCUUCGCAUGCUCAGCAGCUGUUCCUAAGCACUUGCCACCCACACCCUGAAUUUCCAUCCUUAAAACUUGUGAUACCCUAGCGCAUGCAAUAGUUCCACACACUAACUGCCUAUUAGCUCAAUGACAGCACUCAUAUUUCCCCUGUUCUGAAUAUAAAUCCCUGCCCAAUUCUGAGAAGUGCCACCUGCCUGUGCAAGAGGGUGCUUGGUGGAGUGUUUACUUUUGGAUCACUGUAGCUGGACAAUCUUUUUUUAUUUUGAGGUAAGAAGAAAAAUGUAUAUUUAUUUCUUUAACUCUGCCUGAUUGUAUGCUUAUGUGACAUUCACUAAUGCCUCCCCAAGCAUGUCUCCUAACUUAGAUCUAUAAGCUUUUAGUUUAAGGAAAUGCCAGAGUAAAUUUCCGUGCUGGCAGGUGAAGGCAGAACUGAUGUGCAGAAGAAAAGUAAUUUCCUACCCACAUACAGGCAGAUGAACAAGAAGAGACAAGAAAGCAUUGCCAGGGUACUGACCCCAGUAGUGGCACCUUCACACUAGAAACUCCCAAACCUCCUGUCAAAGUGUCUGGCUUGGUAGCAACUGCCCAAACUAGGCUAGAGAGUGGACUGCCAUGCCAGAAUUACUUUGUUCUCUUUUUCCAGAACCUGAACUGAAGCACAGAGUCGGUUGCCAGUGAAUAGUCCCUGAAGAACCAUCCUAGGCAACCCCAUGUAUUCUAGGUGACCCAGGCAGUUCCAUGCUGGCACCAGCAUGCCCACUGGGACAGGAGGGCAGCAGUUAGGGUAACUGGUGUCACCUGAGCCAUCCCACAUCACCCAGCUCUUCACCAAUUCCACUCUUCCAUUGACCAUCCCAAAAGGUAUAUAAAGACUUUACAGACUUGCUCUCUUUUUUCUUGAGCUGUUUUUCUCUAGGACUUCCUGCUUGUGCCUCCUGAUUAGUGACCAGCUGUGGUUCCACCACUUUCUUGCCAAGAAAUCUGCAUUUGAAGCCUUCUGAGAUGUGUUUCCUGCUCUCCAACCACUGAGAUGUUCAACUGAAAGGAUACAACGUCAACCCCAAAUUAGAUGAUGUAAACCUUAUCUGGAAAACUGAAGCACAGCCUGGCAUGCUCUCCUGUUGUGGAACAAAGGAUUGACUUGGGUCUGCUCUCCUUUGCCUUUCUGAAAGAGGCCAUCCGAAGUAACUUUUCUGUGCUGCUAGGUUAAUAAGAAGACAACCAGUUUUUUUCAAGCAAUUAGCCAAGAAUUUACAAAAGCUCUGUAGAGAAUCACCAUGCUGUGCAGGUUUCUUAUAGUUUCUACUUUGUCCCAGAGCACUAUUCCAGGAAGGAGGGGAGGCGGAGGGGGGGAGGGGAAGGGAAAAAAAUCAAUUAAUUAUACCGUUGCCAUGUUCAAUUUUAAUUAUCUUCCUACAUGUCAAAGUUAUUGAUAGUAAACAAGAAAUGGAAUCAGCUUCAUUUUGACCUAAGACUUACAGGAGCAUCUUUCCUUACUCAAAGAGUCAAUUAAUGGGAAUAGGAACAAAUCACUGACCCUUCAGUUCAAUUAGAAAUGAUGUCGAUUAGAAUGAGUCUUUCACUACUUAAUCUGUAAAUUGCAACUGGCCUCUAAACUCCCUUUUUCUAAAGGAUGUCCCUGAGUUGUUCGAACUACUCAGAACAAAGAUUUAGUUAAGGCAGUGUUAAAAUAAAAGUGCAAGCUGGAGAUCUGCUUCCAGCUCAUCGUAUACACCUGGGAAUAUCAGAACAUAUUUGGCUUCAUCAGCCUACCCAGCCAGUUAGUUGUUAAGUGACUGUAGUCAUCUAUUAGAAAAGGGAGUUGAAUGGCAGUGAACCGCGAGAGCUGGAAACCCACAGUAUCUGAAGAUAGAUGAAGUCCUGUCACUGCCACUGUAACUUGUCACAGGUGACUAAAAGGCAGUGAAGUUCAGCUUGCCAGGAUGAUGACUUUAUUAAAGUUUUUCACCUUUAUUUCAAAUUCUUUUAGACAAGUCUAGGAAUUUUGCCUCUAAAGACAUGGAGGGGUUACCCUUCAGUUUGGGAAAAGGAUGUAAAACAUUCAAAAAUAGAUAAAUAGAUAAGUAAAGAAGUAUAUGUGUGCAUAUGCACCUAUAUUCAUGCCUGAGCUAAAACUGUACAAGUUGGAAAUUGUUUAAUUCAUAUCAAGUAAGGAUAAGUAUAUAACUAAAUUACUUUGGACCUGAGUAAAGGGAGAAGCUUCCAAAA